GUCAUCUAAAAAUGACUAGUGUUCCUAAACAUGAUGUGAUUUCACAAGCUUAAACAUGUCUGACGUUCUUUUCUAACCUUUGCUGGAUGCUUCAACAGUGUUUGGCUGUCAAUAAUUUACCCUGGCUGAUUGAGUUUAUACUUGCCUGCUUUGUGAAUAAAAGUGUUUGGAUUACAAAGAAGAGAUUGAGUUAUCCUGCAGAGAGAUGGUGCAAUAAGCAGAUUUUUCUCUUCUUUCAUCCACAGCAUUAUUUCAGCUGGGAGCUGUAGUAUGUGACUAAUUAGCCAAUGGAAGUCCACUCUCUGGACUUUCUGGUGGUAUAUUUACACUGAAUUCUGGCCUGAUAAUAAAGGUGUCACCCAGUGUAACAAUGUGACACACCCAGAGUGAAGAAGAAAAGUCUAAGAUAACACAGAGCCUCUGUCAGCCCUCAAACUUAUUUUUCACAAGCUUCAGCAAUAUUCCAAACAACAAAAGAAAUAUGACUGAACAGACACAAAUUUUGAGGACAUAUUUUUUCCCCAGUAUUUUUUUAACAGGUACUACUGAUGUCCCAGUGCUUUUGAGGGUCUUGUUUGUCCUCCUGGAUGCUUUAGGAAGUUACCACUUUCAGCUCACCUAGAGCUGAUCUCAUUAAUAAAAGAAUGACUUUACAGAAAAGAGUUUCUAAAAUUAUACUCUCACUCAGAAUUGCAAGAGUUGGCUUUUCAGCCUGAAGAUAAAUUUCUUAAGCAUUAAGCUUACUUUAUCAAGUAUUACACCUGACAUUCUCUCAUAAAUUUUGCAUAUAUUUUAACUAAUUUUAAUAUUGUGUGGGCUUGGUUUAUAAUAUUCUCAUGCAGUUACUAAAGUUGAAUCUUCUCAGUCAUAUAUUAGUUGUAAGAAUGCUUAACCCCUUCCAAAAUAUCACUCACUUAAAAUCACAUCAGCUAAGUCUCCUCUUAUUUUUGCUUAUUUCUUGGUUAUUUACCAUGCAUUUUGUGUAUGUUGGAACCAGCCAUGCAGUCGUUGUAUUCCUUUUUUGAGAGGGCAAAUGUAUUUUGACAAGGUUGCUAUUGGAAACACUUUUUAAAUAUCUCAUGUGUCACAUCACAAUCAGCAUCAUAAUCUGAUCAGGUGGAUUAAUUUCAGAAGGCAGCAGAGGGCAUUGCUUACAGGGGUCACAGACAUUCAGAUCAUGGCAGAACUGUCACAGAUGUUACUUUGUGAAAACACAAAGAAUAAUGUGUUUGGAGAGAUCAGUCUUCAAUUAGCUAUAUUUUCUAGGAGCCUACCUUUACUUAGCCUCACAACAUGGGCCUUAGCUUUAGCACUUAAUCUGCACAAAUACCUGGCUUAAGUGUUAUGACUGACUGGCUAUUCAACCAAACCAUACAAAUGACCAAUUCGGUAAGAAAGCAUGAACUUCAGUGUUGAACCAAAUCAACCAACCUCCUCAAUCCAAAUGAACAAUGCUAUUCUAGGAGUCUGUGCUAGAAUAAAAUCCUAAUGCAAAGGCUGUCUUAAAAUGCUGAACCCAGAAGAAUUUGGCAUAAAUAAGACAUGGAGUUAGCUGACAUGAGAUAUUACAUUUAUUCCACUGUUGACGAGGACAAAACUGGGCCGCUAUUGUCACAGGAGAGGAUAACAAAGGAAGCUGAGGAAGUCUGUUCUGGAGGCACCAUGACAAAGCACCAGACAGAAAGCAGUCACGUGUGGGGAGAUGAGCAGAGACACCACUUCUCAAGCACCUGAUUAUUCUUUCUCAGUAUUUAGAAGCAAAAAUUAUCCUUAAGAAAAACAACCGCAAACGCAACACAGGCUACACAGAUGAGAAAAUGGGCUCAUGAAACACUGCACUAAACAGUCACAGGACCAAGAUAUAGAUUCCUAUUUCCAGGCUUGCAGAGCUCAAACCAUUACACCAUUCAGAAGCUGGCUUUGGUAUUACUUCAAGUUAUUCAAAACAGUCACCACUUGCUGAGCCUCUGAUGUCUCAUCUGUUGAAUGGAUUUCAAGAGAGAAGGCUGAAAAGGAAGGUGACUGGAAUAUUAAGAACUGUGAGAUAUUCUGAGGAAACUCUAAUUUGUAAAUUGGUAGAAAUGCCAGUAAUUUGUUGGGAAUUGAAGACCCUCUGUAUUCAAGAGCGAAGCUUGGCAGCUGUGCACUGUUGUUUUAUAAAUCAAUAUUACAUCUGAAGGUGGUGUUUGAAUGUUUGUGUCAUUGGGGUUUGUCUCCAACAUAGUCCUGUGACAAGAAAUGUUCAAACAAAACAAACACAAUCCCUUCCCUGUCCUUUAGGAUAAAGUCCAAACGUAAUUCCACAACAGGGAUAUAACAUUCAAAUCAACUACAGAACUUCUGUAAUUAUAUAAAACCCCACGACCACAGAAAUGCAAUUGAAUUGAAGACACUUUGCAAUAUUCCCCAAGAAAGGACUGUGUGGCUGUCAGAUUAACAAAAGUCAAGAGGUGGUGAGACAAUGCUCACCAUUGCAAAAAAGAGCUUUGUGCAUAAUGAACAGAAUUUGCAUGCCUGUUUAGGAAAUUAAGGUGAAGCCAAGGUGACUUAGGGUCACAUGAGGAGUCACAAC
rnacentral:lncRNA from 1 species